AAUGGAAACAGAGAAUGUCACCAGGCACGGAGUUCCAAAUUCCCAAAGUCAUUAUAAGAUCUAUGUUUGUGAUUGGAUUCUUGGCUGACCCCAAAACCAAAUUCAGAAGACUCUUAACACUCUGGAGCCACCGUAAGGACCUGCUGCUUGUGUGUAUAUGCUUCUGGCUGGCUCUGGGUAUCUAGGGAACGUGGUUCUACCUGAGACUCUUUUGAGUUGGGAGAUACACUGAGCUUGAGACUGACUCUGCAGUGGCUCUGGGUCCCCUGGCAUGCCUCCACCUAGAAGGCCGCUCUGGGUGACUUGUAAGGCACUACCAACACCAUCUGCUCCAGAGCAGAAAGACUACUUAAUAGCCAAAAGCAGCUGCCAGCUUAGGCUUCAAUGUACUCUCUCAGUUCCCUCCAGGAUGACCUGAUGUGACCACCCUUCUAGAAGAGAAAACAGACGCUUUGGAAGUUUCACUGAUUUACGUGCUCAGGGUCACACAGCUACAAAAUGCUGUAGCUGGGACAUUAAUUGAGAUCUUUUGAUUCUUUCCACCGCUCGACAGCUGUUUGUAAAAGCUUUGGUCGGCACAAUUCUGAUUUAAAGGAACCUACUGAGUAAUCCUCUGGUAAAGAAGAAAACCGUGCCUGAUGCAUAUUUUGUAACCGUGAACAGAAGCCCAAGGAUCAGGUGCUGGCUGCAGAACAAAGAUGUUUACUUUCCACCAGGAUCAAAGGUGAACAUAAACCAAAAAUAAGUACAGCACCUUUACCAUCAGAGUCUUUCAGACAAUAAAGCAGAACAUAUUUUGAGAAUUA